rnacentral:rRNA from 1 species
UGGGGAAUAUUGCACAAUGGGCGCAAGCCUGAUGCAGCCAUGCCGCGUGUGUGAAGAAGGCCUUCGGGUUGUAAAGCACUUUCAGCGGGGAGGAAGGCGUUAAGGUUAAUAACCUUGGCGAUUGACGUUACCCGCAGAAGAAGCACCGGCUAACUCCGUGCCAGCAGCCGCGGUAAUACGGAGGGUGCAAGCGUUAAUCGGAAUUACUGGGCGUAAAGCGCACGCAGGCGGUCUGUCAAGUCGGAUGUGAAAUCCCCGGGCUCAACCUGGGAACUGCAUUCGAAACUGGCAGGCUAGAGUCUUGUAGAGGGGGGUAGAAUUCCAAGUGUAGCGGUGAAAUGCGUAGAGAUCUGGAGGAAUACCGGUGGCGAAGGCGGCCCCCUGGACAAAGACUGACGCUCAGGUUCGAAAGCGUGGGGAGCAAACAGG